AUUGAACGCUGGCGGCAUGCCUUACACAUGCAAGUCGAACGGCAGCACGGGUGCUUGCACCUGGUGGCGAGUGGCGAACGGGUGAGUAAUACAUCGGAACAUGUCCUGUAGUGGGGGAUAGCCCGGCGAAAGCCGGAUUAAUACCGCAUACGAUCUACGGAUGAAAGCGGGGGACCUUCGGGCCUCGCGCUAUAGGGUUGGCCGAUGGCUGAUUAGCUAGUUGGUGGGGUAAAGGCCUACCAAGGCGACGAUCAGUAGCUGGUCUGAGAGGACGACCAGCCACACUGGGACUGAGACACGGCCCAGACUCCUACGGGAGGCAGCAGUGGGGAAUUUUGGACAAUGGGCGAAAGCCUGAUCCAGCAAUGCCGCGUGUGUGAAGAAGGCCUUCGGGUUGUAAAGCACUUUCGUCCGGAAAGAAAUCCUUGGCUCUAAUACAGUCGGGGGAUGACGGUACCGGAAGAAUAAGCACCGGCUAACUACGUGCCAGCAGCCGCGGUAAUACGUAGGGUGCGAGCGUUAAUCGGAAUUACUGGGCGUAAAGCGUGCGCAGGCGGUUUGCUAAGACCGAUGUGAAAUCCCCGGGCUCAACCUGGGAACUGCAUUGGUGACUGGCAGGCUAGAGUAUGGCAGAGGGGGGUAGAAUUCCACGUGUAGCAGUGAAAUGCGUAGAGAUGUGGAGGAAUACCGAUGGCGAAGGCAGCCCCCUGGGCCAAUACUGACGCUCACGCACGAAAGCGUGGGGAGCAAACAGGAUUAGAUAACCUGGUAGUCCACGCCCUAAACGAUGUCAACUAGUUGUUGGGGAUUCAUUUCCUUAGUAACGUAGCUAACGCGUGAAGUUGACCGCCUGGGGAGUACGGUCGCAAGAUUAAAACUCAAAGGAAUUGACGGGGACCCGCACAAGCGGUGGAUGAUGUGGAUUAAUUCGAUGCAACGCGAAAAACCUUACCUACCCUUGACAUGGUCGGAAUCCCGCUGAGAGGUGGGAGUGCUCGAAAGAGAACCGGCGCACAGGUGCUGCAUGGCUGUCGUCAGCUCGUGUCGUGAGAUGUUGGGUUAAGUCCCGCAACGAGCGCAACCCUUGUCCUUAGUUGCUACGCAAGAGCACUCUAAGGAGACUGCCGGUGACAAACCGGAGGAAGGUGGGGAUGACGUCAAGUCCUCAUGGCCCUUAUGGGUAGGGCUUCACACGUCAUACAAUGGUCGGAACAGAGGGUUGCCAACCCGCGAGGGGGAGCUAAUCCCAGAAAACCGAUCGUAGUCCGGAUUGCACUCUGCAACUCGAGUGCAUGAAGCUGGAAUCGCUAGUAAUCGCGGAUCAGCAUGCCGCGGUGAAUACGUUCCCGGGUCUUGUACACACCGCCCGUCACACCAUGGGAGUGGGUUUUACCAGAAGUGGCUAGUCUAACCGCAAGGAGGACGGUCACCACGGUAGGAUUCAUGACUGGGGUGAA
rnacentral:rRNA from 1 species